CUGGGCUGUGUGGCCCUUGAGUGUCAAACGAAGGAACAAACGUGUGAAGCUCUGGCGGGUUCCAGGCCUGUUUACUCCGCACAGUACCUGGUAGUCUCAUGGAUCAUUGACGUUUGUUGGCGUAUACGUCACUCGACAAAGCUAAUUCCGUUGUAUUGCUGCAAUGGAUAUAGAGUCCAAGAGGAACUCUCAAAAUCCAGGAAAAUAAGACCAAAUCAGUGUUAAAGGGAAUUCAGUCGGGUGGAUGGGAUGUUGUAACACCAUUCUCUGAGUUCUUGUGAUAUUCUGACUGAUGGUUGGCAGCAUGUUGGUUCCAGGUGGUCUGUCUGGGUGAAGUAGCACCCUUUCCAAAGGAUCUAGCCUCUUGGCUAGGCAGGAUUGCGUAUACAUAUCAAGGACGUGAGCUCUUCGAUCACACAACCCAUCUUGCUUUGACUGGACCUGAUUUGACAUGGAUUUGACUGCAGUCGAGAGUCCUGAUUAAUACAGCAUUGAAGAAAAUAUUGGGGGAAAGGAAGAAGGAAGAGGCAUUUUAUGAAUGAGAGCAACAUGGGAGAACCUACCACACGUAACCUAAAUUGCUUAAGUAGUAAUAACUACUAUUAUGUUUUUCUCAAGUUUUCUGCACAACAGCUAAUUUCAUUUAAAAAAUAUACAUUAGGGGCACCUGGGUGGCUGAGUCGG